AUUGAACGCUGGCGGCAGGCCUAACACAUGCAAGUCGAGCGGAUGAAGGGAGCUUGCUCCUGGAUUCAGCGGCGGACGGGUGAGUAAUGCCUAGGAAUCUGCCUGGUAGUGGGGGAUAACGUCCGGAAACGGGCGCUAAUACCGCAUACGUCCUGAGGGAGAAAGUGGGGGAUCUUCGGACCUCACGCUAUCAGAUGAGCCUAGGUCGGAUUAGCUAGUUGGUGGGGUAAAGGCCUACCAAGGCGACGAUCCGUAACUGGUCUGAGAGGAUGAUCAGUCACACUGGAACUGAGACACGGUCCAGACUUCUACGGGAGGCAGCAGUGGGGAAUAUUGGACAAUGGGCGAAAGCCUGAUCCAGCCAUGCCGCGUGUGUGAAGAAGGUCUUCGGAUUGUAAAGCACUUUAAGUUGGGAGGAAGGGCAGUAAGUUAAUACCUUGCUGUUUUGACGUUACCAACAGAAUAAGCACCGACUAACUUCGUG
rnacentral:rRNA from 1 species